UUCAAAAAUGUUUGUCCCAUUGUAAACCAGGCAUAGUGGUAUAAGGCUGUAAUCACAACACUUGGUUAUCAGAUCAUAGAAGACUGAGAUCAGAGAGGAACAGCAGCAGCAGCAGCAGCAGCAACAGCAACAGCAACAUCAGCAACAGCAACAGCAACAGCAACAACAGCAACAGCAACAGCAACAGCACAACAGCAACAACAGCAGCAACAGCAGCAGCAACAUCAGCAACAGCAACAGCAACAUCAGCAACAGCAACAGCAACAUCAGCAACAGCAACAGCAACAUCAGCAACAGCAACAGCAACAUCAGCAACAGCAACAGCAACAUCAGCAACAGCAACAGCAACAGCAACAACAGCAACAGCAACAGCAACAGCACAACAGCAACAACAGCAGCAACAGCAGCAGCAACAUCAGCAACAGCAACAGCAACAACAGCAACAGCAACAGCACAACAGCAACAACAGCAGCAACAGCAGCAACAGCAACAUCAGCAACAGCAACAGCACAACAGCAACAACAGCAGCAACAGCAGCAGCAGCAACAGUAACAGCAAUAACAGCAACAGGAGCAGCAACAGCAACAGCAGCAGUAACAACAGUCAAACAAUUUCUCUUCCUUCUUGUUUCUGAGAGUAAGAACCCUAGAAUGCCGUACCACAUGACAUAGCAAUUAGUCUUCUUUCAGAGAGAACAAUCCAAGAGCAAUUGGGUGAUAAUUGUUAAACACAUGAGUCACAGAAUUUGAAAAGAAUUAUGGCAUUGCGGAUUCAACUCAGGCAGCUCCUUCCCUGGCAAGGUGGUUUUGUUUUUGUUUACUGUUUCUUCGAAGAUCUAAUGUAGCCGAGGCUGGUCUCAGACUUACUGUGUACCCCUGAACUUUCUGUUUUUACCUUCUAUGUGUUGGGAUUACAGGCAUGUGCCAUUAUACCUGGCUCACUGGUAAUCUUCAGACAUUCCUAGCAAUAGAGCUCCCAUUGUUAUAACUAUUAUAUUAGGGUUCUCAAAGGAAAGAGAAUAGCUAAGAUACAUUUAUAUCAAAUGGGGAUUUAUUAGAUUGGCUUACAUGACACAACCUGGGUAGCUCAACAAUGCCUGUCUCAUACCAGAGAGGCUGAGAACCUGGUAGUUACUCAGUGUCCAAGGAG
rnacentral:lncRNA from 1 species